rnacentral:rRNA from 1 species
CAAUAGCGUAUAUUAAAGUUGUUGCAGUUAAAAGCUCGUAGUUGGACUUCAUGAACAGUAGAUGGGACAACCAUUUGCUUUCUACCAGUCUUUGACUGUUACUGUGAGAAAAUUAGAGUGUUUCAAGCAGGCUAUUGCAGGAAUACAUUAGCAUGGAAUAACGAAUGUAUCUACAAUUUGGUUAAUUGUAGACUACGAUUAAUAGGGACAGUUGGGGGCAUUAGUAUUUAAUUGUCAGAGGUGAAAUUCUUGGAUUAGUUAAAGACUAACGUAUGCGAAAGCAUUUGCCAAGGAUGUUUUCAUUAAUCAAGAACGAAAGAUAGGGGAUCAAAGACGAUUAGAUACCAU